GCUGGGCGCAGUGGUGUGUGCCUGUAGUCCCAGCUACUCAGGAGACUGAGGGAGGAGGAUCGCUUGAGCCCAGGUGUUUGAGGCUGCAGUGAGUCAUGAUUGCACCACUGCACUCCAGCCUGGGUAACAGAGUGAGACCUUAUCUCUA
rnacentral:SRP_RNA from 1 species